CCUACGGGGGGCAGCAGUGGGGAAUAUUGGACAAUGGGGGGAACCCUGAUCCAGCCAUGCCGCGUGUGUGAAGAAGGCCCUCGGGUUGUAAAGCACUUUCAGUGAGGAAGAACGCCUGGUGGUUAAUACCCAUCAGGAAAGACAUCACUCACAGAAGAAGCACCGGCUAACUCCGUGCCAGCAGCCGCGGUAAUACGGAGGGUGCGAGCGUUAAUCGGAAUUACUGGGCGUAAAGCGCGCGUAGGUGGCUUGAUAAGCCGGGUGUGAAAGCCCCGGGCUCAACCUGGGAACGGCAUCCGGAACUGUCAAGCUAGAGGGCAGGAGAGGAAGGUAGAAUUCCCGGUGUAGCGGUGAAAUGCGUAGAGAUCGGGAGGAAUACCAGUGGCGAAGGCGGCCUUCUGGACUGACACUGACACUGAGGUGCGAAAGCGUGGGUAGCAAACAGGAUUAGAUACCCCUGUAGUC
rnacentral:rRNA from 1 species